AUCAAGUUUUACUUUUUAAAUAUAUCGUAUAUAAUAACUGCAGCUUUAUUAUAACACAAAUAGUUGAUAUGAGCAAUAAAACAAAUUGUUUUAAAGAAAAAAAAUACGCUCAAAAAUAUUCGAAGCAAUGGGAACAAGACGAAAACUUAAAAGAUUGGAUAGCUCCUGAUCCUACUGGUAACUGUCAAAAAGCUUAUUGUAAAUAUUGCCGUA
rnacentral:lncRNA from 1 species